rnacentral:lncRNA from 1 species
AUUAAGUUAAUUAUUUUAACAUAAUUAAUAAUGUUAUUUAUGCAAGAUAAAUCAGAUAUGGAAUCUAAACCCUAAUUCUGGAUUUGGAAUAAGGAAAGAGAAUAUUAAUAUAAUAUUAUUUUUAUUUCAAUAUUAUAAUUGUGUACUGUAUAUGUGUAGACCGAUAAUGGUUGGUCAAUUAUGGUAUGUCAUGCUAAAACCCUAGCAUUAAUUUGUUUAAUCCUAUUUUGAAACUCAAAUGGGAGAUCCAAGACUGUGUAGUGAUUGUGUUAUAUGAAUAAUGACAUGUAUUGUAGAAUUUAGUCUUAAUUAG